UUUUUAUUAACUGCUUCCAGAAACCUUUAUGCAUCAGUGAGUGUGUGUCAUAGAUGAUGAAUCCACAGAAAAGAAGGGCUCCUGCAGCGGCUAAGACCAACUCCAUUAUCUCACUAUAAAAAAAAAACUAUAGGGAAGAGAUUAAAGAAAUAUGUUUAUAUUUGAGAACAGUAUUAACAGGACUUAACUUACUUCCUCUAAUGAUUUACUGCUACAUUAUACAUUUGACAAUGGUGUACAACUUUGAAUACAAAUGUUAAAAGCAGAAAAAGGCAAGGCAAGUCCAAACUUGCCUCUGUUGGAUGGAAGGAUGAAUGAGUGGUUAUAUUCCAUUAAACUAAAUUACCCACUUUGAAAAACAGCAUUCCACAUAUAAAUUAUUUAAAAAUAUAUUUCGUUUUUCACAAUUAAAUGUGCCACUGGAGCUUGGCAGUUGUAAGCAAGGGCCUCUUUCUAUGUAAUUUAAUUCAUUUAUUCAUUCAUCUUUUUUUCAGUCAAUAAUAAGGACCAACACAAGACCCUGAUUUUCUAAAGGGAUAAUUCUAUAAUCAUUCUAUAUACAAAUGUUCUGGAUAAUUAUAACUAAGUGUCCUAUCAUAAGAGUAUCUCUUAUAGCUUUUUGAGGUUAUUUAUAUUGACACAGCCAGAAUUAUAUUUCAAAUUAACCAUUAUAACAUAACUUACCUUCAAGAAUCCUGACAGGCACAAUAUCCACAAAAGAGCAAACAGCCUAUAAAAAUACAAUUUUAGUAAUUUGCAAUAUUGUUCCUUACAAAAAAACUUUGUAAACCCAUUCAACACUUUCUGAAAAAAACAUCCAUCUGGAUUUUUUGCUGAAGAAUAACUAAAAUGUAAGAAUUUGUAAACAUACAAUGAAUAUAAUGCCCAUCUUGGAUCUUUUUUUUAAAGAAAUUGAAAGAACAGCUAUUUAUUCAACAUUUGUCUUUAUGGUAUACAAACCUAGUUAACAGUAUAAUUUGUGAAGUUUUGGAACAUAAAAUACAGAUAAAAGCAGAAAUAUCAUUACAAGUAUUUUAAUUCAGAGAUCUAUAAAAACUUUUAGAAAAUAUAUAAACAAAUGAACUAGGAUUGCACUUUUAAACCAAGUAAUAACAAGUUAUUCUGUGAACAUGUCUAUCGAAGUUCACAAUGUACUUUCCAUUUUAUUCUUAUGUAUUAUGGAACUUAAUUGAUGGACACAUCUGACACUGCUAUAAUUUUAUGAGUUACAAUUCAAUUGUUAUAUAUAGAGAGUAUAAAUUAUAUAAGAAAGGACAUCUAAGAAGUCAGUCUUUUGUUAUAAAAUAUGGGACUUAUCAGCUGCUUCAGGUCACAGGGAAUUACAGAGGCCACAUUUAUCCUCCUUCCUUAAAUAAAACCAGACAAAAUAUAUGAAACAACAGUUCUUGGACACUGGACAGCAAACAGCACAGGACAGGGAUUCCUGAGAUAAAGGAUACAAAGAAAGUGAAGUCUAUAUUUGCCCCAGCUACAGAGGGUUUCCAGGCCAGCGUGUAGGGAUAAGAACCCAUACAGUCACUUGCGGUCUCCUUGAGUUGAGCAGACAAGAAUUCAGAGGUCAGGGAAGCCAAGGUAGCUAGAAUUUGCAGGGCAGAAUAUCAGAAAGAAGAGAACUAUCCACCAAAAGUGAGCACUCUGGUGUAUGCACAGGAUUCCCCUAGAGUCUGUAGCUACAUUCUGAUUAAUACAUGCAUGUUAAGGAGGUGACCAAGGCUGGAGAAAGAACCACAAUAGAGAAGCAGGCAGAACAAUCCUCAGAGUUCACACAGGACUGGGAAUAGUUUGCAUUCACACAAGCUGGAGUAGAAAGACCUCGUAAGACAUGCACUGAGUAGUAUGCUGAAGGGUACUGUCUCAGCAGUACCCUUAGGGCCAAAUGAGCCCCUAAGCUAAAAGCUGUUCUGGACCUCCUAACAGAGCCUCAAAAGGUUUACUUUCCAAGGAACUUAACUGCAUCCUAGGAGAACAAUGCCAAAUAUAUUUAAAGUUAAUACAACAAAAUUCAGCACCCAACCAUGUAAAAUUUAUAAUGACCAGCAUCCAAUAAAAAAUUAUAAAGGCAUGCAAAAGAAUGAAGGAAAUAUGACCCAUAACAAGGAGAAGAAACAAUCAAUAGAAACAAAUCCAGAAAUGACACAAUGAUAGAAUGCAUAGACAAUGACAUUAAAAAUAUACUCCCUAGUUCAAGAUCGAGGAAAGAAUGAUCAUGAGGAGGAGAGAAAUGGAAGAUACUAUUUUUUUUCAAAAGACACAAAUUGAACUGAACUUUAAUUGAUUAAAAAUACAAUAUAUGAAACACAAAUAUUCUGAUUGGAAUUAAUAGCAGAUUAGACACUGAAGAAGAUUACUAAAUUUGAAAACAGCAAUAGAAACUAACCAAAAUGAAUCGCAGAGAGAAAAAGACAAAGAAAAACAAACAAACAAAAAAAACAGAACAGUGAAUUAGGGGACAACAUCUAGAAGUCUCACACAGAUGUAACUGGAGUCUCAAGCAAAGGAGAAAGAAGGGGAGACAGAUAAAUGUUUGAAGAAAUAAUGGCCAAAAAUUUCCCAGAUUUGAGCUGUGCACAGUGGUGUGUGCCUGUAAUCCCAGCUACUCAGGAGGUGGAGGGAUCACUUGAACCCAGGAGUUCGAGUCCAGCCUAGGCAACACAGCAAGACCCCAUCUCUUAAACAAUUUUUUUUUCCAAAUUUGAGGAAAACUUUACAUUGUCAGAUCCAAGAAACAGAAGAAAAGUGGAGGGGGAGGGAACCACACCAAGGAAUAUUUUAAUCAAAUUACUGCAAACCAGUGAUAAAGAAAAAAUGGUAAAAGUAGCUCUGUAUGUGUGGAGGAAACAUAUACAGAGGAAUAAAUAUAAGAAAGAUGGCAGACUUCUUGUCAGAAACUACAUAAGUCAGAGGACAAUGGAAUGACAUCUUUAAAAUACUGAAAGCAAGAAAAAAAACCCAAAACCUAGAAUCUUACACCCAGCAAAAAUAACUUUCAAAAAUAAAGACAAAGGUUUUUUUCAGACACAAAAGAUGACCAACAGACAAUAAGAAAUGUUAAAAAGAAGUCCCUUAGUCAAAUGAUAUUAGGUGGAAAUUUAGAUUUACAUGAAGAGAUGAAGAAGAGUAGAAAUGGCAAAUACAUUGGUGAACAUAAAAGGACUUCUAUUUUUAAAAUCCCUUUAAAAGAUAAUAUAAUUUUUAGUGCAAAAAUAAUAAUGUAUUAUGGAGUUUAUAACAUGUAGAACUAAAAGUUACGGCAACAAUGGCACAAAGGUAGGGAAAAGGAGAUACAAGGAUACAUAAAAUGGUAUAUUAUUUGAGGAUAGACUAAUAAUUUAAAGUCAUAUAUUAUAAAACCUAGAGCAACCUCUAAUUAAAAGAACUAUAGCUAAUAAGCCAAUAAAGAAGAUAAACACAACCAUCUUAAUAAUCACAAUAAAUGUAAAUGGACUAAAUACACUAACUAAAAGCAGAGGUGGUCAGAUUAGAUUUUUAAAAACCAAGAUCCAACUAUGAUUUCUAAAAAAAAAACCUUGUAAAUAUAAAGACACAAAUACAUUAAAAAUAAAAGGAUAGAAAAACAUAUACGAUGCUAACAUGCUAACACAAAUUAAGAAGAAAGCUGGGGUUGCUAUAUUAAUAACAAAAUAGAUUUUAGGGCAAUGAUAUUACUAGAGCUAAAGAAGGUCACUUCAUAAUGAUAAAGGGGUCAGUUCACCAAGAGUACGUAACAAUCCUAAAUGUUUCUGCAUCUAAAAAUGAAGUUUAAAAUAAUAUGAUGCAAAAUUAUAGAAUUUACAUAAGAAAUAGACCAAUCCAUACUUGUAGUUGGAAAUUUCAACACCCCUCUCACAUUGAUAAAACAAGUAGGCAGAAAAUUAGUAAGCAAAUAGAACACUUAACAUUAUGAACCAACUUUACCUAAUUGACAUUUAUCAAAUCAUCCGACAGCAGCAGCAAAAUACACAUUCUUGUCUAGUGCACAAAGAACAUUUACCAAGAUACCAUUAAAAAAUAAAUAAAUAAAUAAAUGCAAAAGGACUGAACUCAUACAAAAUAAGUUCUCUCACAGUAACAGAGUUAUUUAUUGUAAUGCUAUUUGGUGAAAUGAAGGCAUGAUGAGAAUCUAGUCCUCAGCUGUCUCUCUGAAAUGGCCCUAAAAUUUCUCAGGAUACAUCUGGCAUACCUAAGUGAGAAUGAGGUAUCAUGCUACCUCACAACAUAGAUCCUUCAGGACUGAAAGGGACUUAGGAUUUGCUUUUUCAUUCUUAAAGCCUAGGGAAAUUCCAACGUUCCUGCACCAUGGGGUAUGGGGAAGGUGAUAUUAAGAACUUACAGCAUCCGAGAUAUUACCCUACUUGCAGGCUAACAAGUUAGCCUGGCACAGUUUCAUGGAUGCAUCAAGCUCCUAGGUCUGAGAUAAAGGACAGUUUACAGUAAUAACAGUAGUAUCAGCAUUUUUAUGACAGGGCCCAGGUGAUGCUAAGAGGGCCACAUGACACCUACACACACAGUGGGUUGUGUUACAAGAGAGGAACCUUGAAUUUAGGGAAGCAAGUCUUUUUUAUAAUGGAAAGUAAACAUGCUUGCCCUCUGCUCUAGCGAGCACUAUUUCUAUCUUUCCAGGCUGUUCACUAUUGGAAAAAAAAAACCCUUAAAAAGAUUGUCUGGAACAAAGAGCAGUCAGCACAUCAUUCACAAGACAUUCAGAAACACGAGACCCAUGAAAAAUCCUCUCCAAUUCUUGUGGGCUUCUAAUAAGACAUUAGGAUAGGGCUGCCAGAGGUCACUGGACAUUAAUUUACUCUUAUUCACUAACUGGACAAGAUCCUACAUUUGAGCCUGAUCAGACACUAUUGACAAUACAUAUUAAAACAGAUACCUUUUCUCCACUACAACAUCCAAGUUGAAAUCUGACACACUUAGGCUCCCUGGUUAAGCAGCAUGCCCCACCCAGCAACCUAAGUGUACACACACUAAAACAGUUAUUUAGGGUCACAGGCUCCAUUUGGUAAGUUUCUGGUAAGAAAUUCAGCCUAAGACUUGUCAGUUUAUGACAGCAUUCUCUGUAGAUACUGUAACAGGUAAAGAUUUGAAAGUCAUGUCCUACAAAUAUUCUGCCUAAGUUGUUAGUUCACUCUACUCUGACUCACAUCUCAUUAAAUAUUUAAGCAUCAAAGAGAGCAAAUUUUCUGAGAAUAUAGAUAAGAUAUACCAUGGACAUAGUGCUGAUUUUGCUAUUCUAACAACUCCAUCUAGAAGACUGACAAAUCCUACCCUCAUCCCUCUCAACAAGAAGCACAGAAUAAAAAAUAACUUACAAACAGUGAUGUACCAGUAAACUGACUUUCUAGGAAAGAAAAUGAGCCCUGAUUUGUAGUGCUUCUUAAUUUCUGUGGUGUACAUACAUCCUUCAUGGCCUACUUUAAACUUCCAGCAGUUUAACAACUGACUUGCAAGAUGCCUCAUAAGCUGGCACAAGGCAACUCUAGCACACCAAUGACCAGUUGCCACAGUUAUCAUAUGUAGUUCUGAGAUUUAAUUCCUUUUGUGGCAGAAUUACCACAGGAUAAUGAUGUUGUAAAAACAUCACAGCUUUAAGUCAAUCUAUGAAGCACUGCCACCAUUGCCUGAUACUACCAUACAUCCAAACAUUUAACGCACUUCUUCAGUCCCUAUUAUGUCCCAUAAACAGGUCAGAAGGAACAGCCUAUAAACUUUUUAGAAAAUAUUUUCACAGAAAAUCUUUUCCCUCGGUCUUUAUAUCCAUUUUGGCACUCAGCUUCCACAACCACUUUGGCUUUGAGGCGUCACAGUAAGUAGUGCCAUUAAGUUUUAUUUAAAAUGCAAUAAAGUGCUACUCUUAAGUAGCUGAAUCUAUGGCAUACUGACCAAAGUAUAAUUAUUAUUAGGAUUUUGCUAGAGAGUCAUUACAUGGCAAUAUCCAGUAACUAAUAGCAGUAGAUGUGAUUCAGUGGAGAACUGGGCUGUAUACCAAGAGCAGUAGUGAAGUGUUAGGGUUUUAAAUAGGUAUACUGUAAUCAAGUUUCCAUUUUUGUAUCACCCAACUGCUUGGUGGAAAAGAGGCUGGAAACUGUUAAGACUGGAGAAUAGAGAGGCUGGUUGUAGUAAUACAGGUAAGAGGCAAUUUUGAAAGGGUUCCGUUUCCAGUACUACAGCAAGUAAGAACUAUUCCAGACUAAUUACUGCCCCUGUCCCACCCCGAAAAACUACUGAAAUGAUGCAUAAAAGAGAAAACAAAGAAUACGUUCUUAAAAACAUCAAAUAACUGUCAAGGUAGAAUGGAAUUAUCAAAUCAAAAUCUAGGUAAAAGUGGAAACCCAAAGAAGUAAUCAUAGUACUGUAGCUGAAUUUGCCCAACUACAAGAAAAGUCAUCAAUGCACUAAGCAGGGGUAAAUUGCGGGGUGGGGGCAGAGAAGAACCAUCCCUGGGAAAUUGUCACCACAAGCUAUCCCUUUGCUGAUUUGUAGUCUAACUGAAGAACACUUGUGUGGUUGGGAAAACAUCGUAAGCCAUGAAUUUAGUUUCAAGUGGACCCAAUCCAAUAGUUUUCCCAGAUGCUAGGCGAAAACCCAAAUACUGUAUGGAAAAGUGCACCUUCAAUCAAGGCCUCAAAGAAAUUCAACAAAUAGUUUUUCAAGGACAAUUACAUAGUCAAAAAUAACUGAACACUUAAAGAAAGAAAAUAUCAUAAGAAUUAUCAGAAACAGCAGACACAGACAGACGCACUUCAGAAAUAUCUGGUCUCAGAUCUAUAUAUGAUCACUGUAAUACCAUUUCUAUCAAUCAAUGUAAAUUUAUUAUGAAGAGGCUGAAAUAUAAGGCAAGUUUACCAGAAAAGGAUUUAAGAGAGAUGAUACUGGAAUUAAUGAAAGGGAGGGAACAGUUGGAGAUUGGGUUGAGAAGAGGAAGUAGAACAAAACUUUCAUCAUAUAUGCCACACAAAUAUGUAUGAAACAUCCUUCCAAAGAAGGAAAAGAAAAUAGAAAAUGUUACCUCUCCCUAAAUCAAACUCCAUUCUAAUGAAACUAUUUAAGCAGCUCGCGCAAUUGUCAGUGUUGGCUGACCAACUAUAUUUUAUCUCAAUAGAGACUUCUGGUGUUCUGGAUUACCAGAAUAAAAGGGGUGGGGGAGGAAAGAAAGUUUAGCAAGAGCAGAGUUUUGUAAAUAGUGUUGUAACAGGAAAAAGAAAACGGUUGGGUGACUGUGCCAACAGGAAGCCACUGUGAGCUUAGAAAAGAGUCUAUGCAUUCCUACCAGGUGAGGGCAAUGCUGUACCAUAAUCCUAAUAUAAAAAGGAUCAUUCCGUAUAUUUGUUUGAGGAAGGAUACAGGUUAAUCUAGAUGGAUCAAAAGGUCUUAAAGUUCAUGCAGACCCUUUCAAUACCUGUACUAAUUACAGCGCUUCUUCCAAGAAGACGUGGAUGGUCUUGGUAACAUUUAUGCUAAGACAAAGACUGAAGUAAUUUCAGUAAAUUCCAUAAUGUUAAUAAAGCAUACAAGCUUAAACUCUCUGGAAAGCUUAUUUUUUUUUUUAAUUCACUUCCCUUUCACUAUAGGAGAGAAGCAAAUAAGUCAAAGCCACUUUCCAUUUCUGUGUAUGUUCUAGGAGUAGGACCUGGCCCUAGUACUCAAAGAGAUGAUCUCUUAUUACCCUCCAUUUUAAAAGACAGUACCCAAAAAUAACAGUGUAGCACAUUCCUCAAAACCACCUAUAAUAAUUAAAGACAUCUAUCUAUUAUAUCCAAGAAUAUAUACAACUUACCCUGCUCCAAAUUUGCUGAAAUCCUUCUUAGAUUGUAGAGUAUACACAGUCAAACCAAAAAAUACUGUAGUAGUCAGUAUGAAAGCUUGCAGAAUAAUAUAUACAUCAUAGAAAGUAACUGUAAAAUUAAAACACUGAUUAACAUGCAUAUAAACAUGCUCAAUACAAAACAGCUUUUUCUGGCAUUUUAUAGAAAUGCUUCAUUUUCUCCUGUACUUUAUGCCAAUAAAAACAAUUAGAAAAGAUUUCUUAUCCAUCCUUGACUACAUGGGUACAGUGAAACCACACCCAUAAUGCAAUUAACAGUCUCCAAAAAAUUCAUUCAUACAAAAUCAGAGGUCACAUUAUUACCAAGUUAAUGAAAUGACUGGAGAGCUAUCACGCCUGUAGCCAGUUUGGAGUUCUACAGGUAUGGGAGUGAUUCUCAGCCAUCUCUGUCCCAGGCACAGUUUACCACCAUCUGUGGUGAUUGUCCAUUAUGGUUUAAAUAUCAAUAGGGAUGAUUCUGGGUCUCCUGCCUGGCUGGGAAUUCCUGGACAGUAGCAGCAAAUCCAGCAAUCAUCUAGUUAGUUAUACUUGGUUUAUCAGCCCAAAUCAAGGAAAUUGGGAAAGAAAAAUAUUGGGGCUGUCUGGGGUUGCCUACCAUUCACUUACCCUGCAGAGGACAGAAACCAACCACUAACUGCUUUAUAUCCAAAUGUGUAUUAUCUUGGAGUACAUUAUUUUGGGGUUUACUGAAUAUAUGCCAAAUUCCUUUCUGUAAUUUUAGAAUAAUCAUCCAUUCAAUUAUGGCUAUUGUAAUAAAACUCCUUAACAUUUUAAUAAAUUGCAAAGUUAUAACCUCUUGGAGGUUAACUGCUUUGAACCCAAAGCCAUUUAAGUAAUUUUUAAUUUUUCAGGGGAGUAAUUAUUCAUGUUCUUUCUAUCAUUAAAUGCUACAUGAUUGGAAUUUCUCUGUUUAUGCCAUUACAGGAUUAGGAAGGUGAACAUGGAAAAGAUAAGACAUGAAGUCCAUUUUGCUUCUUGUCAGUAAUUUAAGUAUACGAUUAGGUUGAAAAGAUAUUGCAAUUACUGAGGAAAAUAAUGUUCUCAGAUUACCUCAUCUAUGUUUUUCUACCCCCAAUUCCAAUAAUCCUGAAAUGAAUCUCUCUCCUACAUUCUUUAUACAUAGUAGGGGCUGGAGAAGGGAGAGAUGGAUUUGAUAACCUUAAUAGUAAGUAACAUUAAUAAUAAGUAAAUAUUAAUAAUACUUCCUUUCUCUGUUAAGAAGCUUCAAUCCUAUUUAUUAUUUAUUACUAUUUAUUUAUAUUGAUUCUUUUAAAAAGAGAUUACAAAAACAUACAGAUUAAACAAAACUGGCAUAGAAAGGUUAAAAAAACUAAUGACAAAGUAGGAAGAGUUAAAUAUAUUAACUAUAAGGAUAAACAACUUGCUAUUAUGGAGAGUAAUAAUUAACUCUGACCUUUUUGGUACUCAAGGUUAACCAUUUUGAGACAAUCAGAAUUUCUAUUCUUAAUUUACUGAAAUUUUUUAUUUGAGGCAUUACAUAGGGUACAUCAAGUAAUUAUAACAGAAACGGCCUUCAAACACAUAUUUAACAUGAAAUACAGAGCAGAAAUUACCACUGUUUCUUGCAGUGCCAUUUGAUAAAAUAUGAGGAUAUAAUGUUAAAGCACAGUUCAGUUUGGCACAGGCCAGUUAAAGGAGUUAAGCUCAUACAUAUGAUCAAAGUACGUGGCUCAGAACACAUGUUCUCAGUUACUUGAUGAUAACUUUAAAUUAGGGAAAAGAUUAGCUAUAGUUGUCUUAUUUUUCUAAAUGGGUAAACAAAUGAAAUACUGUUCUCCAUUCCUUUUAUUUUUCUUUUCCACUUCUAAGCUCAGCUGAAAUAUGUAAACGAUAAAUAUCUAACUUUUGCUUAUACUUUAGAAAUUAUUUGUCCUAUGCUAUAUUUCUGAAAUAUGAUAUUCCAUGAUGUUAAACUUUAGCCCCAAAUACCUUUUUACCUGAAAGAUCUAUCUACAUUAAAAAGUUAUUAUAACAUAUAGAAAUGCAGUUACGGCUUACCAACAACUGCCACAGUCAGAGCUUCCAACAGCGUCUAAUGAAAAGAAACUUAAAUUAGUGACUGUAAAAUUUAUACUAUCUCAUGUACAUUUUCUAAUUUCUAGCAGCUUAAUGUGAUCCCAUAUGAAUGAUCUCAUUUUAGCUUCAAAGCAGCCCUGCGAAGUAUAUGGGGCAGUUAGUAAACCCACCAUAAUGAAAAUGAGACCUCAGUAUAUUGAGUGGGAAUAUUAACAUUCUAAUUCUGAUACUAUGACUCUUUAAGCUCUAAUCGCAUAUUUGUAACAGGAAGACUAUAAAUAUAGAACAUUCUGUUUUUCUUACUGUGUAAUAUAAAUAAAAAUACAAUUGCAAAAUUAUGUGCACAUUUAUAAAACCUCAAUACCUCACACAAACAUAGGAAGAAUAAAAUAUUUAGGUAGUACUUUGGUGUGGGAGUCUUGAAAGUGUUUCCCAAUAUUCAUUCUCUCUUUCUUCCCUAAUAACAGAAUUUUUACCUGGACACAUGGCUGUUCAGAUUAAACUGCAUUUUUUCAGUCUCCUUUGCAACUCUAGGUCUGACUACGUAACGAUACUCUAGCCAAUUUAAUGUGACUAAGAUAGGAAUUCAACUUCUGGAUUGUGCUCUAAAAACAAAGAAAGACUUGCUCUCCCCUUCCUCUUCUCAUUUGUUUGUAUUAAUAACUGGAUACUCUGUGGCUAUGGAAGUGAUCUAUCUUAUACCAUAUGAUCUAUCAUAUACCACUCUAGGAAUGCCUGGACCUUAGCAGAAGCGUGGGCCCUUGUCACCUUCACUAAAUUGUCAUUCAAAUUUUUACAUGAAGAGAAAUAAACUAUCUUGUUUAAGCCAUUGUUAUUUUGUCACUGUUUAAGUCAAGUCAGAAGUAGCUGAACCCAUAUCCUAAAUAAAAGACUUGGGGAUACUGAGCCAUGUCCUCUAGCCUCCCUUUCCCCUUAAUUACAGUAUCUUUAUUUUGUCUUAUAUCCUUACUCUAGAUAGAUUUUAUCAAUCAUCUGAUAGACCAUAUCACAAAGGCAAAGCCAGAAAUAAAGGCAGUGGCUGUAUAAUCACACUCCUGGUAGAAGCAUCCCUGUACUCCACCCUACCUGAUAUCAGGAAACCAUCAGCACCAGAGCAAAAAUGGUAUUAGAAAUUGUACAUAGAUGUGGAGGCAAUGGAACUGCUGUCACAUUUUAAUGCUUUUAGUAGUGCCAGCAAAAAUGGUAGCAAAAGAUGAUAGAAAUUUUUUUCUGGGCUGGGCAUGGUGGCUCAGACGUGUAAUCCCAGUACUCUGGGAGGCCGAGGCAGGUGGAUUGCUUGAGUCCAGGAGUUUGAGACCAGCCUGGGUGACACAGCAAAACCCCCUCUCUACGAAAAACACAAAAAAAUUAGCCAAGGAUGGUGACAUGCGCCUGUAGUCCCAGCUACUUGGGAGGCUGGGAGGUGGGAGGAUCGCUUAAGCCCAGGAGGCAGAGGUUGCAGUGAGCCAAGUUCGUGCCACUGCACUCCAGCCUGGGUGACAGAGAGAGACCCUGUCUCAAAAAAAAAAAAAAAAAAAAGAAAGAAAGAAAUUUUUUUGGGGGGGGCAGGGCAACAUGAUUAUACUAUAUUCUUGCUAUUUAUGACAAGAUUUUAGGAAAGAAAUCCCAUACACAUUCAAGUAUCUAAGGAAACAGGAUGGUAUAAAUAAGAGUUAAGAUAAGACUAGGAAAACAUGAUAAUGUCCCUUUAAAACAUAUACACACAUGCUCCUCGAGUUACAAUGGGGUUACAUGCCAAUACACCCCACUGUAAGUUGAAAAUAUCGUAAGUAAAAAAUGUAGCUCAGAGUGUCUUUGGUUAAAGAAUCACCAAUGCUUAAAGUCUGAAAUUUCGUGGUUGCAUAUUGCUUUGACACCAUCAUAAAAGUGGAAAACAUUAAGGUGAAUGAUUCUAAGUUGAGGACUAUCUAUCUAUCUGUCUGUCUGUCUAUGUGCAUGCAUACACACACACACACACUCCUACUAGGGCAAGAUAAGAUUCACCUCCUUUCUUAUCUUGGUGGAUCAGGACCAAAAAACUCCUAACGUUAAAGGUCCCUGAGUAAUUUAAGGAAAUGUAUUGUACAUACUUAUUUGUUAAACCAUUUUUAGCUAUGGGCAUGAUGAAUAGAUUUAACAAUCAGUGAUUAUCUUGCCUAUAAGCAUUUGGUUGAUACUUUUCUAGUGGGACCUCUCCCUGCUGGGCAAAAGUUGAACCACACCCUCUUCCCACACAGAAAUCAGUCUUUCUGAGAGGAGGCUACAUGUAGAUGCGAAGAGGAAUUCUAUAUGGCCGUCUUUUUUUUUAUACUUCCUCUUUCCUGAGACAUAGCUGACUAGGCCAGGAGUUGGCUCUUACCCAAGGCCUGGCAACCCAUAUAUUGACUAACAGCCUACAAUGUGACCUGUGCCAACAACCAAGUGUACCAAUCAGAUUCUUUCUCUCUCCUUUCUUCCUUCCUUCCUUCCUUUUCCUUUCUUCCUCCCUCCCACCCCCCUUUCUUUUUAAGACAGGGUCUCACUCUGUCACUGAGGCUGGAGGGCAGUGGCGCAAUCUCAGCUCACUGCAACCUCCACCUCCCGGUUUAAGUGAUCCUCCUGCCUCAGCCUCCCAAGUAGUGGGACUACAAGCACGUGCCAUAACAUCUGGCUAAUUUUUGUAUUUUUUGCAGAGACAAGGUCUCACUAUGUUGCCCGGGCUGGUCUCGAACUCCUGAACUCAAGCAACAUGCCUGCCCCGGCCUCCCAAAGUGCGGGGAUCACACAGGCGUGAGCCACCACGCCUGGACCAGAUUCUUUCUGACUCAGGAAUCUGAACUCAGAGAUUGAAGCAAUGGCAGUGGGAGCUAAAGUUAAAUGACUCUGGGGGCAAACAAUGGGUCAUAUAAAAAUUAAAGAUAGAAAAAGGGAAAACAAUGUAUAAGGACAACUGAGGUAGAGAAGAGAUGUAAUAGAACAAGGGAGAGGGGAACACAAACAUUUGUCACUGAAUUUCCUAUGAUAUCAUCAUUUCUGGAAUCUUCCUCCAGUUCUCCAGUUCAUCUUCUUGAAGAGGAUUUGGGUUGGUGGGUUCUCAAGCUCUUACAUCCUUAAACUCCUUGUUAUUUGCAAUAACUUGAGUUAGAAUUGACAAUCUUGCAAACAAAAGAGCUUAAGAUUUAAAUGAAUAAUCUUUCCUAUUACUGAAACUUUCAAAGUCAUCAGCUUUUCAUUUUAACACAAACUCAUUAUCAGAAUUCAUAAACUUUUUAGUUUAAAGCAUUUUAAUCUAAUCAAUAGCUUUUCCCACUCGUAUUUGACUACAAGUAUUCUUUUUUUGUUUGUCUGAGAUGGGGUCUCACUCUGUCACUCAGGCUGGAGUUUAGUCACGUGAUCUCAGCUCACUGCAGCCUCCACCCCGCAACCCCGUUACAGUGAUCCUCCCACCUCAGCCUCCCAAGUAGCUGGGACUAUAGGUGCACACCACCAUGCCCAGCUAAUUUCUGUAUUUUUUUGUAGAGGUGGGGUCUCACUAUGUUGCCCAGGCUGGUCUCAGACUCUCGGACUCCAGCAAUCUGCCCACGUCAGCCUUCCAGAGUGCUGGGAUUACAGGCAUGAGCCACUGCACCCACCCAAGUAUUCUUAAUAUUACUUUGGAAUGUUCUGAAGUAAAUUUUUAGGUUAGAAUCUAGUCAUACUGGAUGAGAAGAGGCAAAAUAAUUUUUUAGACAGAUAACUUGAGGCUUAUCCCCUUAUUCUGGUCAUAUUCUAAACUGAAUUUUCAUAAGUGGUAGUUUGGGUUUUAAUUUUCACAAAUAUCUCAACAUACAUGACUUAAAGUUGGGUUCUCCCAACUAUAAUUUUGAAAAAAGUUACUAAUGCACAUAAUUUGAGCAAAAUGGUUCUUUAAAAGAUCAGAGUGAUAAGAUAAUAACAAAGAAGAGUUAACAAUAAAGAAUUUGAAUUUUAUGAAAUUAAAGCCACAACAUAAUUUUCUCCAAAGAAAAUAAUAGAAUAUUAGAGGUAGAAGGUAUCACAAGGAUUUAUCUACUUUAAAAUUCUCAUUUUACAUAUGAAAAAACUUAGACACAGAAAGGAUAAAUGCCUUGCCAAGUGUCACAUAAUCAGAUAGCAGCAAAGCCAGGUCAUCUAUUCCAAUUCAGCAUUUUUUCCACUACAUACUAAUAUUUGAAACUAAUAAACUGUUAAAAGUUUUAAAAGACUAUAAAAUUACAAUUAAUUUCCUAAAGUACUCUAAAAAAAACUCAUUAAUUUUGUUCUGCCGUUGUUAUAUAUGUAUUAUAUAUGCAUUUAUUUAAAACUCAGGAAUAAUUGUUAAGGGAAUAGAGAAAGUCAGAGUACUCACAAAUCCAAAAAGUAGGUACAGGUUAAGGGGAUACUUAUGUCUGUUUAAAAUCAACGCAAAAAUCAAACCCAGAGAUCCGAGGGCAAACAGCAAAAUUAAGGCAGGACUGAAAGACAUAAUAUUAAGUGUUUCAAGUUAAAGAAAAAAUAGCAUGAGCAGUAUUAUCAAAUUUAAUAAAAUUUAUCUAUUUUAUAUGUUUAUGAAAGUACAGGGGAAAAAAUCUGGAAUGAUCCACACCAAACUAUCAAAUUAUUUUAUAUCUGGAAAAUUUGAGGAGUACAAGGUAGAAAGGAGCCUCAAGACAAAGAAAAGAGCCCAAAAUGAAUGGGGGAAACUUUUUCUUUUUACCAUAUAAACUUCUAUCACAUUUGAAUAAUGUUUGCAAUUAGUAUACUAAUAUUAUACAAUAAAGAAAUUUAAAAAUAACAACUACUUUCUUAGGAUAUUUGCCAUAUGGCUGUAAUUUAAAUUAAAGAAUUUUACCUCACAUAGCAAACUAAUAGUUCAAGACUCCCCUUUGGUGGGGAGAAGGGAAGGGAGGACAGAAAUUCUCUACUUCUAUGAAAAUAUUCAUUAGUUCUCCUUUCCUUUAAUAUAACAAAACUGUAUCAUGGAAAUAAUUAUGAUUCAUCCCUGAUUAAAGAUCAGGGAUGAAUCAUGUGGAGCUCUUUUGAAAACUUCUUGGUGAAAUUAUGCUAGUCAUGAGCCAAAACUAAAAUGAACGCACAUUUAUUUUUCAAGUACUGUCUUAGGCUUUGAGCACAGGGAAUAUAGUCUAAUAAAGUUUUUAAAACUUAAGACUUUUAAAAAUGGCAUGCAGUAAAAAUUCUUAAUUUUUACCAAGGGUUUAACCCUAAGAAACUAAAGCUAAAAAGUUCAGAGGUAAAUACCAUGUUGUGGAGUAUUUUUCUUCAUCAAAAACAAAACUAAUCAGGCUUAUAAGAGUAAAUGAACCUUUUUUACAUUUUAACCUCAAAAGUUAAUAGAAAAAAGUGGAUUUUGUUUAUAAUAUGCCUUUUUGAUCAUAUGCAAUGUCUGAAAAUUAUUCAUUACCAUCUCAUUACCUUACCUCUCAUGUACAAAUGUCCGUACAGACUCAAAGUAUAAAAAAACUGUUGAAGUCACUGUAGUUAAGAGAACCUGCAGAGAAAGAAUGCUGUAGACUUUUCUCAGAAAGGCUAAAAGAGAAAAAAAAUUACAUUACUAUUUUCUUAACCAUUUAUCAUAGAACAGUAAAAUCAAAUUUCCUCUUUAAAAAAUUGUUUUUUACACGUAUUCUUUCCUAAUUUUCCUCCUAAUAAUGUAAUGUAUAACUAAAACUAGACAAGAAUACAAAGCUUCCAAAAUAAUUUAAAAAUUGUAAGAGAUAUCUAAACCUCUCUCCAAAAAGCAUGAGCCUAAAAAAAAUUAGUGGGCCAAAAUGUAAAUGUUUUCAUCAAAAUGAAAAAUGUAUUAAAUGCCUAGUUGUACACAGCAGGAUACAACAUAGCAAAAGACUAAAAGCAGAACAUUUUAAAAGAAUGAUUAUAUCUUGAAUCUGAAAAGGAGAAAUAGAAAGCAUAUAAACGUUAAGUUUUUUUAUGUCUUAAUUUCAAAAAUAGUAAAACUAUUUCCCCCAAAUGAAACUUAUCCUGAAAAGGCAAGUAAUAUAUAAACUUACUUUCACUCAUCUAUUAUUAUUUCUCAUUUAUAGUACCCCUGCCUCUAGUUUCUAUACAAUAGAAAAUCCUUUCAUAUUUUGUUAUCAAUACCCAGAAAUCACCUCUAAGGCUUAAUGAUUCAAUGCUUAUUAUUAAAGUCUUCUGAUAUACAGUGAUACAAAUAAUACAAUGAACUUCCAAGAACUCAUUACCACCUUCAGAAAUAAAACAUUAAUAACAGUUCCCACCUUCUCUCUGUGAUAUCCCUCUCCCUUCACACUUCCGGCUAACUACAAAUCAUCUUUCAAGAUGCAGCCUUUCUCAGUUCCGCAUUCUGAAUUAGAUGUUUCUCCUUCAUGUUCCUGAGGAACCCUAAACAUACCAUUAAUCACUUUAUAAUUGAUAAGUCUACUUGUCCUUCACCCCCAUUAGACUGUAAAGACCGAAAGCUCCCUAAUAAUUGGGAAGAAGCCUAAUUCAUUUCCUUACCCCCACCACUCAGCCUAGUGGAUGGCAUUGCAUAAACAGUCGUUAAAUUUUAUUUGCUUUUAAAUAAACUUUCAUUAAAUUUAUGAAGGGUAAAUUUUACUAGUCAGGGAAGAGAAAAAGUAUUAUUCUGAAAUGAAACAGAAUAAUGGAGCCACUGCUUAGAGGACUGUGCUUAGGCAGGCAAUAAAAAUCAUGUUGAAUGACUUUUACCCAACAAAAGAAAAUGUGAUGUUGUCUCUUGCCUAUCAUGGCAAUGCUCAUGGUAGAUGAGCAUUAGAUGGUGGAUGUUCCUUUUGAAAAACAUUCCUACUAAAGACCUGGCUUUCCAAGGAAGGGUGAAGUGCUUUGAUGGCAUGUCAGCCAAAUAUCAAGUUAAAAAAACAAAAUCUUUCACAGGAAUAAGGGAAUUUUCAUGAAUACUAAGGAUUUAAUAAUCAAAAUGCCUAAAUAUUAAACUUAAUUUUUCCCUCUGGCACUCUUUCCAAAAUCUAGAGUGAGUUUUUCCUGAUGUCCUAAACAGAUUUUACUGGGCAUAUGAUUUAACCACUGACUCAUAAGAACACUGAGUGUCCAUUGUAUUUUGGCUUAGAGAUAAACAGUUCUCAACUCCACAACAGAUCUAUGACUUACUUUCUCAAAAAGGCCCUGAUGUCUGAAUGCUUUGGGAGGUCAUUUCUAUCUUUUUCAUAAAAGCAGAGUAAAGAAUAUACUACUGGCAUGGACAAUGUUAUUUGGGAUAUCUUUCUGCAAAUUUAAUUAUUAAACCAAAGGUCAAGCCAUUACACCUGCAAGGGAUUUUCUGGGCUAUGAGAAAAAAAAUCAUAUUCUUUACACUACAGCCUCCAUGUCCUGGAUUCAAGCCAUCCUCUAGACUCAGCCUCCCAAGCAGCUGGGAAUACAGGCCCACACCAGGAUGGGGUGUGUGUGCACACGUGUGAGAGAGAGAGAGAGAGAGAGAGAGGCAGGGUCUCACUCUGUCACCCAGGCUUAAGUGCAGUGGCAUGAUCAUGAUUCACUGCAGCCCCAAUCUCCAGGGCUCAAGCAAUUCUCCUAACUCAGCCUGCCCAGUAGCUAGUACUACAGGUGCAUGCCACUACGCCCAGCUAAUUUUUUUGUAGAGAUGGGGUUUUACCACAUUCCCGGGCUGGUCUUGAACCCCUGGGCUCAAGUGAUCCACCCACCUUGGCCUCCCAAAGUGUUGGGAUUACAGGCAGGAGCCACCGUGACUGGCCCUGGAAUGUAUUCUUUACUUUUGAUACCCUAUUAUGUACCUCAUAUAACUCAAACCCAAUCCAUAUGAUAUAUAUUCUCUCAAGCAGUGGAAAUUAGUGUUAUUUCUUACCAUUUUGUAAAACUGAUUUACAGUUCAAAACAAUGUGCACAUUAAGAUCUAAUGUUUAUUUGUAUAUAUGUACACAAGUGCAUAUGUAAUAAAAGACUAGAAUAAUAUACAUCCAGGUGUUCGUAUACCCUGGGCAGUAGUACUAAGGAUAAUUUUCAUAUUCAGUUCUUUACUAAUCUGUAUUUUUUAGAUACCAGCAGUAUGUAUUACUAUUGCAAUUAAAAACAUUUUAAAGAAACUCGUGCUAAGCCUUUAAGUUCAUACUAAAAAAUUCUCCUUAUGCAGAUAUUCCAGACCAUAACUUUUUCUAUACUUUAGUAUCAUAAGCCAAAUCCCAGGCAAAAGCAGUAUUGACACCCAUUGUGAAUAAUAUAAAAAGUAGCAAAGGACAUGCAUAUACAGCUUUCAGGAAAAUAUAAAAGAUUCAAUAUGAAAAGAAUACUAGUCAAACAGCAAGAUUUUCCAAUUUUUGUUGAGUCCUGAUUUCUUCCCUUCUAUUUGACAUCUCAAAACUUAACAUGGCCAAAACUGGAGCUCUUCAUUUAUCCAAAUUUGCUGUUCUCCCAGUGUUCUCAUCGAUAACCAGCACCAACAUCAUCCAAGCCAAAAACAUAGAAGUCAUCUUUGAUUACCCCCUCCCUGUUCCCAAUCUAUCAGCAACUACUGUAGUUCUACCUUUGAAAGUACAACGUAUCUGCCUCUUUUGGUCUCCUCUGUUACCUCCCUAGUCAAAGUGUGCCUAAUCUCUCACCUGGACCACUGGAGGAACCUUCUGAUUGGUCCCCAUGCUUUCACUCUUGUCCCACCUAUUUCUCCACACACUCUGUCAAAGUGAUUUUUAUGUAAAGUAAACCAUAUCAUGUGACUCUGCUUAAAUACUUAAAUAAUCGUUCCACUUAAAAUAAAAUGUGAAAGAUUUUAUAGGACCUACAAGGUCCCACAUGAUGUAGAACCUUUCCAAUCUCAUCUCAGCACUCUCUCUCUUCCUCACCAUGCUUUACCCACAUUAGUCACUUUCCCGCUUCAGGGCCUUUGCACUUGCUCUUUCCUCUACUUGGAAUGCCCUUAUCAUUCUUUACAUGAAGUAGUGGUUUAUGGUAAGUCACAGUUCUUUGACACUCCCUUCAAGUGAGUCCUAACAAAAAGAAUGAUGCAAAAGUGGCAGGGUGCUACUUCUAAGACCAAGUCAUAAAAGGGAUUAUGGCUUCCUCCUGCUCUUUCUUGGAUCAUUUCCUCUGGGACAGUGUUUCUCAACCUUGUUUUCAUUAUUCCCCGCCUAAGUAGCCUUCUAGGUACUUUUUUCCUAAUAGCCCCCUCAAUAAAAUUUUAAUGCCACAAAUAUACUAUAUAUCUGUUGUACCAUCGCCCUUUGGAAGGAUAUACACCAUUAUAAAAUCUUAAGAUUUUUUUUAGAUCUUUACAUCCAACUAUCAUCUAAUGGGGUCAAUAGCACCCCAUUAAGAAUGCAUACUCAGGGAAGGCCAGCUAUGUUGUGAGGAAACUAAGGGCACCCUAUGGAAAAACACAUGUGGGAGGAAAGUGAGGUCUCCUGCCAACAGCCAGUGAGAAACUAGGGACUCCUAUGAAUAGCCCUGUGAGUAGCCUGCCUGGGAGCACAUCCUUCACCCCCAGUCAAGCCUCCAGAUGACCAGCACUAGCCAAUAUCUUGACCACAACCUAGGACAAACUCUAAACUAAAACUACCCAUAUUCCUGACUCUCAGAAACUGAGAUAAUGUUUAUUCUUUUAAACCAAUAAGGUUUAGGGUAAUUUGUGACACAAACAGAAUAUAUAUCUUGGUACUUGGAAGUGGGGCGCUGCCAUACCAAACACCUAAAAUAUGGGAGAGAGCCUUUGGAAUCAGGCAAUAGAUGAAAGCUGGCAGAUCUGUGAGAUGAAGGCUAAAAGAGCCUUGAAGAAACUGUUUGUAGAAAGUUAAUGCCUUUGAGACUCCUGCAGGUGAGGGCUUAAAGGAAAGUGGGUAAAAUUCUAUGCAAACUGGAGGAAAGAGAAUGCUUAUAUACUCAGAAAAAGUUUAGCAACAGUGUUAGCUAUGGUAACAUCAAAAGUAGAAAAUGUGCUUAAUGAAGUAGGUGAACAAACUAAGGAGACUCCCAGAGUGUUGAAUGUACCUGCUGGCUUCUUGCUGCUUAUACUAAAAUAGAAGAGAUACACAGCUAAAGGAAGAAAUGUCAAAAAGAUGGGCCAGGCAUGGUGGCUCAUGCCUGUAAUCCCAGCACUUUGGGAGGCCAAGGUGGGCACAUCACGAGGUUAGGAGAUCAAGACCAUCCUCGCUAACACGGUGAAAUCCUGUGCCUACUAAAAGUACAAAAACUUAGCUGGGC
rnacentral:lncRNA from 1 species